UGGGGAAUUUUGGACAAUGGGCGAAAGCCUGAUCCAGCAAUGCCGCGUGAGUGAAGAAGGCCUUCGGGUUGUAAAGCUCUUUUGUCAGGGAAGAAACGGUGAGGGCUAAUAUCCCUUGCUAAUGACGGUACCUGAAGAAUAAGCACCGGCUAACUACGUGCCAGCAGCCGCGGUAAUACGUAGGGUGCAAGCGUUAAUCGGAAUUACUGGGCAUAAAGCGUGCGCAGGCGGUUUUGUAAGUCUGAUGUGAAAUCCCCGGGCUCAACCUGGGAAUUGCAUUGGAGACUGCAAGGCUAGAAUCUGGCAGAGGGGGGUAGAAUUCCACGUGUAGCAGUGAAAUGCGUAGAUAUGUGGAGGAACACCGAUGGCGAAGGCAGCCCCCUGGGUCAAGAUUGACGCUCAUGCACGAAAGCGUGGGGAGCAAACA
rnacentral:rRNA from 1 species